GGAAACAUUUUGAUCCAGGAGCCUGGAUUUAAAGGGACUCAGUGUUUCACCACUUUUUCAGUUUUCUGGGAGUUUGUUCCAGAUCUGUGGUGCAUAGACGCUGAAUGCUGCUU